UGCCCAGCAACUCCUAUCCCUACCUCCUCGCGGUACCGGCCGGAAACUAUGAGCAACCUUAGGGAAGAUCGGGUAGCCAACCCCAUUGGGAACUUUGGUCAUAGGCUGACAAGGAGGG
rnacentral:ribozyme from 1 species